rnacentral:rRNA from 2 species
CCUACGGGAGGCAGCAGUGGGGAAUAUUGGACAAUGGGCGCAAGCCUGAUCCAGCCAUGCCGCGUGAGUGAUGAAGGCCCUAGGGUUGUAAAGCUCUUUCACCGGAGAAGAUAAUGACGGUAUCCGGAGAAGAAGCCCCGGCUAACUUCGUGCCAGCAGCCGCGGUAAU